rnacentral:rRNA from 1 species
ACACGCAUGACACACUGCAUAUCAAUAAGCGGAGGAAAAGAAACUAACAAGGAUUCCCUUAGUAACGGCGAGUGAAGCGGGGAAGAGCUCAAAUUUGAAAUCUUCAAGGUUUCUACCUUGACGAAUUGUAGUUUAAAGAAGUGUUUUCUGUUGAAGUUUUGGUAAAAGUUCUUUGGAAUAGGACAUCAUAGAGGGUGAGAAUCCCGUAUUUGGUCAUUCCUCCUAGCGUUGUGAUACACUUUCAACGAGUCGGAUUGUUUGGGAAUGCAGUCCAAAAUGGGUGGUAAAUUUCAUCUAAAGCUAAAUAUUGGCGAGAGACCGAUAGCGAACAAGUACCGUGAGGGAAAGAUGAAAAGAACUUUGAAAAGAGAGUUAAACAGUACGUGAAAUUGUCAAAAGGGAAGCGUUUGACACCAGUGUUGUUUUUCCGAAAAUCAAUUACGAAUGUUUUGUUUUUAAGAAGUUAUGACUUCAUCGGCUUGCUUCUUUCUUUAUGAAACUUUCUUAAUGCACUUUUCGGUUAACAAGUCAACAUCAAUUUCUUUUGUUGUAAAAGGGUAUGAGGAAGGUGGCUUUCUUUUCGGAGAAAGUGUUUAUAGCCUUGUAGCCUCUGCAAUCGGAGAGAUUGAGGUCUGCAGCGUAGAUCCUUCGGGGUUAGAUACAUUUGUGCUAAGUUAUAGCUUUUCAUAGACAACUUGUUGACUAUGUUAAGUCUUGUAGCUUACUCGCUUAUGCUAUUUUACCUACGCUUAGGAUGUUGAAGAUAUGCGCGACACG